rnacentral:rRNA from 1 species
ACGAGUGGCGGACGGGUGAGUAAUGUCUGGGAAACUGCCUGAUGGAGGGGGAUAACUACUGGAAACGGUAGCUAAUACCGCAUAACGUCGCAAGACCAAAGAGGGGGACCUUCGGGCCUCUUGCCAUCGGAUGUGCCCAGAUGGGAUUAGCUAGUAGGUGGGGUAACGGCCCACCUAGUCGACGAUCAGUAGCCGGACUGAGAGGUUGAACGGCCACAUUGGGACUGAGACACGGCCCAGACUCCUACGGGAGGCAGCAUG